AACGAACGCUGGCGGCAUGCCUAACACAUGCGAGUCGAACGAGACCUUCGGGUCUAGUGGCGCACGGGUGCGUAACGCGUGGGAACCUGCCCUUAGGUUCGGAGUAACUCCCCGAAAGGGGUGCUAAUACCGGAUAAUGUCUUCGGACCAAAGAUUUAUCGCCUUUGGAUGGGCCCGCGUUGGAUUAGCUAGUUGGUAGGGUAAAAGCCUACCAAGGCGACGAUCCAUAGCUGGUCUGAGAGGAUGAUCAGCCACACUGGGACUGAGACACGGCCCAGACUCCUACGGGAGGCAGCAGUGGGGAAUAUUGGACAAUGGGCGAAAGCCUGAUCCAGCAAUGCCGCGUGAGUGAUGAAGGCCUUAGGGUUGUAAAGCUCUUUUACCCGGGAUGAUAAUGACAGUACCGGGAGAAUAAGCUCCGGCUAACUCCGUG
rnacentral:rRNA from 1 species